GAAAAGUGAAUUCUAUUUUGAUUCUGUCCUCUGAUUAGAUGCUUAAGUGGCAUGACAUUUGAAUAUGAUUAGCAUGAAUUUCUUUUCUAGCAUGCCGUUAUACGUGUUCAAACCUGCUGUGUGCACUUUUUUCUGAUAAACCUCUUAAAGAUAUUUACCCCCUCUUGAUAAAAACUUCCUCACAAUUUUUUUUAACCUUUUUAGAAAGCAAAC
rnacentral:misc_RNA from 1 species